rnacentral:rRNA from 1 species
AUUGAACGCUGGCGGCAUGCUUUACACAUGCAAGUCGAACGGCAGCGCGGGCUUCGGCCUGGCGGCGAGGGGCGAACGGGUGAGUGAUGCAUCGGAACGUGCCCAGUUGUGUGGGCGUGCCGGGCGAAGGCCGGAUUAAUACCGCAAUCCACCUGAGGGUGAAAGGGUGGGACCGAAAGACCUCGCGCUAUUGGAGCAGCGGAUGUCGGAUUAGCUAGUUGGUGGGGUAAAGGCUUACCAAGGCGACGAUCCGUAGCUGGUCUGAGAGGACGACCAGCCACACUGGGACUGAGACACGGCCCAGACUCCUACGGGAGGCAGCAGUGGGGAAUAUUGGACAAUGGGGGCAAGCCUGAUCCAGCCAUGCCGCGUGGGGGAAGAAGGCCUUCGGGUUGUAAAGCGCUUUUGUUGGGGAAGAAAACCUGCGGGCUAAUACCCCGGUGGGAUGACGGUACCGGAAGAAUAAGCACCGGCUAACUACGUG